CUUUCUUGACGCCUUGGCUCAUGCUUGGGGGAUGGGAUAAGUCUGCAGUGCUGAUGGUGUCGGUUGGAGUGCUUGGAGUCCUCGGCAAGCACUAGGAGCAUCGAUUGACGGAGGUACUCGGUCGGAGUGCCAGAGGGUCCGUCACAUUUAGUGACAAGUGGGGGAUGGCGUCCUAGUGUGAGGAGAAGCAGCCCAGAGACACCAGUAGCGUUACG